CUGCUGCCUUCCGUAGGAGUCUGGGCCGUGUCUCAGUCCCAAUGUGGCCGUCCACUCUCUCAAGCCGGCUACUGAUCGUCGCCUUGGUGAGCCGUUACCUCACCAACCAGCUAAUCAGACGCGGGCCCAUCCCAUAGCGAUAAAUCUUUGAAGAAAAGAACAUGCGCUCUCUCCUUGUUAUGCGGUAUUAGCAGCCGUUUCCAGCUGUUGUCCCCCUCUAUGGGGCAGGUUGCCCACGCGUUACU
rnacentral:rRNA from 1 species